CCUACGGGUGGCAGCAGUGGGGAAUAUUGGACAAUGGGCGAAAGCCUGAUCCAGCCAUGCCGCGUGUGUGAAGAAGGCCUUCGGGUUGUAAAGCACUUUCAGUGGGGAAGAAAGCCUUGGGGCUAAUACCCUCGAGGAAGGACAUCACCCACAGAAGAAGCACCGGCUAACUCCGUGCCAGCAGCCGCGGUAAUACGGAGGGUGCGAGCGUUAAUCGGAAUUACUUGGCGUAAAGCGCGCGUAGGCGGUCUGAUAAGCCGGUUGUGAAAGCCCCGGGCUCAACCUGGGAACGGCAUCCGGAACUGUCAGGCUAGAGGGCAGGAGAGGAAGGUAGAAUUCCCGGUGUAGCGGUGAAAUGCGUAGAGAUCGGGAGGAAUACCAGUGGCGAAGGCGGCCUUCUGGACUGACACUGACGCUGAGGUGCGAAAGCGUGGGUAGCAAACAGGAUUAGAUACCCUGGUAGUC
rnacentral:rRNA from 1 species